ensembl:lncRNA
CAGCUGAAGAGUCCAUCUGUCUCAGAUAUAAUCCUGAAGUCCAGAUCACAUUUCAGAAAGAAGUAACUCCAUCACAUAUGUAGUUUAUUGUGCUUGUAAAACAUUUGCAUGCACUUGUGAAAAGCUUUGCUCUUACCAAAGAGCUUUGCUCAGGUCUUCUGAAAAGUGGAAAAUUAUGAAGUGAUUUAGUUUUCUCCCUCCUAAGUUAAUUAUUGAUCUCAGUGUAAACCAAAGACAAGCUGAUCAAUUCACAAUCCCUUUGUUAUUUACUAUUUGUCAUAUUAUAGUUUUAUGCCUCCAUACGGUGUCAAAUGAAGAGAGAGAGACCACUGCCACUGUUAAAACCACAUCAGUUUUGCUUCAGUGAUUUUCAGAGGUUUGGAGUUUUUUCCUGGAACCUAUACUUAGACCUUUAAUAUGUUUCCUGCCUGCCUUGUGGUUCAUCUCCACGUGCACAGCAGUGCUUUUUACAGAGAUGUGACUGUGAAGUUGACUGUAGUUUGGCAACAGAGAUGUCUGAUAUGAAAGAGGUGACAUUUGCCAGCCGUGGGCUCUACAACUGCAAAGCUGAGCCAUCUAUAUCAGCUUAAUUAAUUGCAUUCCUAGCUGUAUGAACUGAGACUGAGACUCAAAAAGGGUGUGUAGGAAGGAGGUAGGGUGAGGAGUAAUUCCAGGAAAAUAAUUUACUUUUGUUUCAUUCCUGGAGUAGGGAAGGCUGGAUCCUUUCAUAUGAGUCUAGCUAGAGUUAGGCCACACAUGAUAGCUCAGGGAACCCAGUUGUAUCUGUUCCAUUGAAAAGCAGAAUUUCUCUUACAUCUUCUUUCAUGUUAUUUGGUUUUUUUUACAAGCUAAGAAAGGGUUGGGGCAUCAUCUCUGUGUGAAAUGUGGUCUCCUUCUCUGACUGGCCUCUCAUGUGCCAACACAUGAAGUUGUAAAGACAAGGUCAGAUCUGUGCCCUCACAAAGCAUCACAGUGAAAAGGUUUGUUGCUUCUCUUUGGAAACAAUUUCCCUCUUCCACACUCAUGAUUGCACUUACCUGUUUUUCCCACGGCAAACUUUGUGGACACAGCCUGGCCCUCUUGCCAGUCCUGUAUAUUUACAUUAUAAUGUAUGGGGAGCUUCACCUUUGUCCCUACACACUUCUUCUGCCCCUUAUCUCUCUGUCAUCUGGUUUUUCUGCAAUUGUGUUUUUCCUGUCAUUCAUCCAUUUCUCUUGUGGACUGUUAUUUUUGUUCCAUUGCCCUUCAUCCUCCUUUCCCAUUCCUGUAGGCUUAUUACAGGAUCCCACUGCAGCCUUUCCACUUCGGUGCUAUUUGACCAUAGAAAACGGUGACAUUCAAUUUAUCUGCCACUGUCCUGACAAAUACAAAGGGAAGUUCUUCCUUUGCAAUCAGGAUGCAAGUAAAACGGAAGGAUGGAUUUGAGCACAGGGAUUACAGCUGGAACAAUAAUGCCUUUGUAAUACUGUCAGGAUUAUUCCUCUCCUGUGGAGAAAAACUUGAGGAGCAAAACCAAGUCUUCAAGCAAACAGAAUCUCCAGCUGUCAAUGCUUUUGCUUCCUCUGGAGGAGACACAUGCCUGUCUAAAUACAAUAUGCUUGAAGACCAACACUUGGCAUCUAUAUGACUCUUGAAACAUUAUGUGUUUCUAAAAUCCUCUAAAAGCAAUGGAUGGGAAAGGGAAAGACCUUAAAUGAGGGCUAGGCAAUUCAUCUUUUACAGGACAGAUUCCUGAUUAGUAUCCUGAUUCCCAGCCCAGGCCAGCUUAGACUUCAGUUUGCUUUAGCAAUUGUUUGUAUGAUAUCAUACUUACCCUAGAUGAUUAUGUUCUUGAAAAUGCAGGCAGGAGAAAUAAUAAAGACUAAACAAGCAUCACAGACAUUUUGUGCCUUCCCAUCAACAGCUUGCUGGAGACUUCUUUUAAUGGGCAGUACUCACACAUUUUACUCUUAAACUCCUUUUCUAGGCCUUUAACUGAAAUGGAAUUCAGGGCAGGCAAUGCAGCCCUUGUUUGUUUUAACAAUAUUCCCAUUUUUGUCAAAAAUCUUCUCUAUGCACAAGUGAAGCCAAAAAGAAUUGACCAAACCUUUCCCCCAAAAAUGCUCAUGCAUCUGCUCACGGGCUUGCUUUUUGAUAAGCACUCUUACAGAAAGCCACGAUUUUACAUUUGCAGGCAGUGCUGUUUGUCAUUGCACGCUGGAAUUGGAUCUACCUUCCCCCGCCAGCCUCAGGCUACUCGCUUGCUCCAGAAUCCCCCAGGUUGGGGAGGGAGCACAGCUCCUCUCUGGCUUGGCCUUGGACUGAAUCACACGGAUAGUUUAACUCAGCUCUGUCUCAGGAAGCAGUGAGCGUGCAUGUUACAUAAUAUAAUCUUCAUGUCUUGAGGAUUCAGGCCUGUCCUCUUUUGUGCUGCCAGAUGGAAGAGGAGCCACGCUGUCUCUGGAGAGAUGUCCCUACACAUCUCGCUGCUCAGCUGUGCUGGAAUUAAUGUGCUUCUCUCUGCAGCGGGGCACUGUUUUUCCCUGGCAUUUGGCUCCAGAAUAACUAGCUCUUUAGUAUGCAGUGGAUGCUAUACAGCCACUGGGAUCCCAAGAUUAAUUUGUCUAGAAAAAGAGAUACAUGAAGAACCUCCAAAAGGAAUUUGUGGGAG